UACGUAGGGUGCAAGCGUUGUCCGGAAUUAUUGGGCGUAAAGAGCUCGUAGGCGGCCCGCUAAGUCGAACGUGAAAUCCCCAGGCUCAACCUGGGAACUGCGUCCGAUACUGGCAGGCUUGAAUCCGGGAGAGGGAUGUGGAAUUCCAGGUGUAGCGGUGAAAUGCGUAGAUAUCUGAAGGAACAUCAGUGGCGAAAGCGACUUCCUGGACCAAUACUGACGCUCAUGUGCGAAAGCGUGGGGAGCAAACAGG
rnacentral:rRNA from 1 species